AUUGAACGCUGGCGGCAGGCCUAACACAUGCAAGUCGAGCAGCGGCGGACGGGUGAGUAAUGUAUGGGGACUGCCCGAUAGAGGGGGAUAACUACUGGAAACGGUGGCUAAUACCGCAUACUAUCAGAUAACCCAAAUGGGAUUAGCUAGUAGGUGGGGUAAAGGCUCACCUAGGGGACGAUCUCUAGCUGGUCUGAGAGGAUGAUCAGCCACACUGGGACUGAGACACGGCCCAGACUCCUACGGAGGCAGCAGUGGGGAAUAUUGCACAAUGGGCGCAAGCCUGAUGCAGCGACGCCGCGUGGGGGAUGAAGGCUUUCGGGUUGUAAACCUCUUUAAGUUGGGAGGCGUUACCAACAGAAUAAGCACCGGCGAACUUCGUGCCAGCAGCCGCGGUAAUAC
rnacentral:rRNA from 1 species